CUCACUUCCUGAAGGCGGGUUCAGACGAGGAGCGCUGAGCAGCUGCCGCAGGACCUGCUGAAUGUUUGUGAACGAGUCAGGCUUCAGCUGAUGCCAAUGAGACAAGAAUUAGCUAGCUAGCCAUCCUGCAGUCGCCCGCCUCUCCCCGCUACAUGGAGACCAUUCUCAGGAGGAGAGCAAUGAACAUCCCAGACCUGAGCAUCGUACUGCUGGUGUUGAGCGGCGCAGAGUCCGGCCUGCUGGGCCAGUUGACAAAACAGUCUCAGAGUUUCACCUCGCUGUGGAGCAAACACCAACGCCGUGCCCU